UGGUAGUUGGUGGCUAAAUCAUGGAAAAGGGUUUUCCUAAUAUGGGCUGUCUCUCCUGAGACUCCUCCUCUUCCCUAUAACUGGGCAGGACUCUAUACUCUUAUUCAGCCAGUGAUGACACAGCUACGACUCACUUCCCCAUUAAUUGGCUGAAACCAGUUCUUACAGGAACUGUCGGUGAUAAAUGUGAGAGUUCUCAGAAAUCAUUCAUUUCUUCCUUCUUCACAGCUAAGCGACACUCCAGGGCAUUUCUUAAGGACUCCCUCAAUUUUUUAGAUAAUUUAUAUGUAUUUUGUGGUUCUCUCUUGCUAUUAUUUUUCUUGAUAUUUUUUUGGUAAAAUAUCCUAUCUGGGAAAAGGAAAAGCUCACAUACUGGAAAAAGCAGAUAUAGAAGAAGGUAACCAUUAGUUUGGGUGUGAAGCCUUUCUUGUCUUCUUAACCUCUGUUAUACAGUUUGUCACCUCUCUCCAGAAAGCAUACCUCUAGGUGUGGGUGCCACACUAGCAGUGAGUAUCACUACUUUUUUUCAUUUCUUUUGUUUUACUGCUCUUUCUCUAUCACUGACUGCUAAUUCAUAAUCACUGUACAUUCAUAAGUAAUUUGAUAUUUGUAGUGUUGUGGUGGUUGCUGCUGUCUUUUUUGCUGGGAUAAUGCAGUGUGGCAGAGUUUAAUGUGUGUCUAGGGUUAAAACGGAGUGCUUAUUAUGGCCUGUUCAGGGUUUGACUCCUGAGGGAUGCUGAGUCAUGCUCAGCAGGUGGAGCUGCUAUGACUGAAGUGUACACUCCCCCACUUUACUCACAACCCCCACCCUCCAUCCCCCAUCCCCUCAGCGAACCCUGUUGAACUCGAUGCAGGCUGACCUAGACAGGAGGGGCCCCCAGAGGGUGAGAGGGUGGGGGAAUUCUACUCCUAAUUCCUGCCACUAACAAUCCCUCACAACUCUGUUGAAAACAAAGACACUACUACUUUUACCAAACUGCUAUUAUAAGUUGGUCUGCUUUCAACUGUUUUUUAAUCUGAAUCCAUUUCUUGCUCUCCUGAGUUGCUCUUCUAAGUGUUCGAAGGUGGUGACCAUCUUCUUGUGCAAGUGUGUGUGUGUGUGUGUGUGUGUGUGUGAGAGAUAGAAAUAUUCAGGGGCUAAAUAAAAACUUUGUGUAGGUGUUGUGUGCUCAUAAAAAGUGUGAGAAAUGUUACUUUAUGUUUCACUCACAUACUACCUGAAAUUUUCUAUUUUUUUGAGCCUGCUUUAAAAUUAUUUGACUUCUUACAGAGUAUAGUAAAUGGGGCUCCAGAGGUGUACGACUGCUUUAGUCAAACAGCAUUGUCAUGUGUUUUGACAAAACAUGAUCAUUUUUAUUUUACACACAAAUCCAGGAACUUAGAAAGAUAAUUAUUCAGAAUAUGUCAUCUAGAUACAAAUGGAUGAAUUACUGUAUAUACGAACUAUCUAAAUGAUUAGCAACUUUAUUCAGAAUGAAUAAUGAAUAAAGAAUGAAUAAAGUGAUAUCUGAUUACACAUUUGUUUGAGGUUUUAAAGUUUUGUUUUGCUUUAUAUUUAGGCUCUAAAAUAAGGUUGGUCUUGGACCCUGAAUCUGUAAUGAGAAACAAUGAAUCAUACUGUAGUUUUGUUUAGUUUCUGGAGACUGACAAAUAGCAUGUUGGUUAAACCAAGGCUUCACAAACUAAUCCAAUAAUAUAUGCAAUCACAUAUUUUGCCAAAGAUAAAUUGGAUGGAGGCUAACCUUUCUUGAGGAGUUCAACUUUAUGUGUAUGUUUUAUAUUUAAUUGAUUUCUUGAUUAUAACUGUCUUUGUAUUGGAAGCAGAAUACUGAUUACUGAUGGGCUGUUACUGCUUAGGAUAAUGAGAUUGGCUAACAGUAUGUCUGACAUUGUGAUUAUCUGUUUUUCAAUUGUUACUGUUAGUAUUAUUAAAACAGAAUUUUAAAGAUUUCUUUUAUGCCUAGUCUUGGUAUGUAUAAUAUGGCUUACAAUUGCAAUAUUGUAAAAAAUGCAAUAUUAUGUCAUAAAUUAAAUUAUGGUCCUUGAUUUUGCAGAGGCUUCUUUCUUUCUUUCUUUCUUUCUUUCUUUCUUUCUUUCUUUAAUCAAUGUUUGUAAAAUGUUUUCUCCCUCAUCUGUGCUCUUUUGUAACACUGCUCUGGUAUGCUAGCCUGGAAGCUUCAGGCGUAUAAAAAAAAUGGAACAGUGUGGGGUUUCUUUUCUGUUACCUUAGCUGAACCCUGGGCUGAACUCAAUGCACUGUACUGCUGGCAGGAAGGAUACGAAGAAGAGAGAGAAAGGGAGAAACAGGCAAGAGGCUUGAGCGUGUUUAGCUAGCAGGCAGUGAAUGUCAGUGAAUGAGAAACACAUUUUGAUCUGCUAUAACAGGGCAUAUUCUGUUACCAAAUAACAGAAUAUGGAUUUUGACAGCCACCUCUAUUCUUCAAUAUCUUUGGUAAGUUUUUUUUUUUUUUUUCCAUUUUUUCUUCAUGUGUGAAUAAUGCAUUUCCAUGCAUCUCUCCCAAGUGUGUCAGAUAGCUUAUCAGACUGGUGUUGGCUGUUUCACUGCAUGGCGACAACAGUCUGUAGGCUGUCUGACAUUUUGGGAUUUUUCAUCCAAAAAAAAAAACGUUAUUUGUAAUCUUAGGUGUUCAAUGUUUCAAUGUUAUUUCUUGUCUUACACUUAUGCUUUUGCCUUACCUCUCUAUUUAUUGCUUUUAUGAAUACUUUGAUCCUGCAUCUGCCUUAAUUUCUUCAAUCUUUACAAGCAUACAGUGUUGUUCCUCUUUGGGGAACCCUUUUAGGGGACUAAAAACCAAAAAAAUUAAUCCUAAAGAAGAGCCCUUAUUAGCAUUGCAAAACUUUGCUCUGAACACUAUGUUUUAACCCGCAUGCUUUGGUGUAUGACUAUAUGUAUAAUUUUGUGUGUGAAUUAAGAAGAAUAAAUAAGCUAAUUAAUACUUUGUCAGAAUUUGUUUCUUGUUGUGGCCUGAUAGAGCAACCAUUUUCAAAUGUGUAAGAGAUACUAUAAAAACUAUAUAAAAUAUAUAAUUACAUUUCACAGAUGAUAUUUGAGAGUUAAUAUCUUAAAUACCCCAAGUAAUGUCUUUUUUUUUUUAUUUAGAUGUGGUUGAAAAGACAUCUUUAUCUGUACAGACUGCAAUUAGAAAUGUUUACUUUCACCAGGUUGUUAAUUUAAUCAAGAUUUUUUUUUAUUUUCAAUGCCACCAUAUGUGCAGACACCAAGUGUUUACAUUGCCAAUGCAAUAUAGACAUAUAUGUAGAUAUAUGAUAGUUAAAGAGAUGUACCCAAUGAGUCUGUCCAAUGAGUCUUAAUCAUUUCUUAAUGUUAUCAUUUCAUAAUGUUAUUCGAGACAUUUGUGUAACUUUGUUUCAUGUACACUCUGGUAUAAUCUGCCACCUGUGAAAUGACUAUGAAAUAUUAAAAAAGUAUCCUAAUAAUGGAAUACAAUUAAUUGAAUUAUGAGUAUGUCUAAAGUAUGUCAUCUAUACUAUAUAUUUAUAUAUUCCUUGCAAGUUUAGGGGAGUUUUGCAGGAGUCCUCAAUGCUGAAUAAUAUAGCCAUCAUGCAAUACAAUCAGGGAGGUGACAAAUUGGCCCCAAAUUUAUUCUGCAGCAGCAGGUUGAAGGAUUUGAGGCAUCCACAGAAGAUCUUCAAGAUGUUUGGUACCUACCUGCUGAGUUCUUUCAGAAACUGUCUGCAAGUGUAUGGGUGGUCACACCAAAUAUAGAUUUGAUUUUGAUUUAUUUUUUGUUUAUUUACUUUCCAUUUUGUUAAUUGAUAAAAAUAAACUCUCUAUUUACACUAUUUUUGAAAACCUUUUUACAGUACUGUAUAUAUAUGAUUUAUGAUUUAUUAUUUUAGUAAAAAUUCAAUAAAAGUGUUGGGCACAAUAUUAGUAACUGUUCUAGGUAUAAGAUACAUUUCACAUACAUACAUUUAUCCAAUAAUUAUUUAACAUAUUUUCUAAAUCAAAGAAAAGACAGAAAAUUUGUCAUUAAACAAUCACAAGGCACAGGAAAAGAACAAUUUAGAAUGAAAAAGAAAGAAAGAAAAAACAUUAGAUUAACAAAUAUCAAUAUAUGUAAAUAUUUAUGUAAAUAAUUGAUUAUAAAUAAUAAUUUCCAAUGCAGUCAAUAACUCAGACGCAAGAUGGCACUAUUUGCUGUUGAGUGAAUCAAGAGAACGCCGUGGGAUACGUGGGACAAGAAAGUCGUAUAAUAAUAGCGGAUAGACGCCUGACAGCCUACAGCAGCCCAUACACAGAUAUAAUACCUUCAAGAUAACCCAUAUAAACACAGGGAGAAACUGUGAAACCCCAUACAGAACAGGUUUGAACCAUGGACACUGGAACACUUUUUUCCACUAUUUUUAAAAACAAGAUCACUUUUUUCCACCACCCUCACCACUGGUGUGUCUGUGUUCAGCCGUCCGUAAUUGCAGUUCGCUAUAAUUGUGAAGACACAACCCACAACCCCCAAAGCUGACCCAAUGCUUAAACAUUUGUUCGAGGCGAGCCUUUAGCAGAAGGCAAUAUCCUAGAAGCUUGCUCAGAGUCUCCAUAUCGCAACAUUGAAACAAAUGGCAGUUAAAUAAAACUCUUCCUCACCA